AUGCCCAAAAAUGGUGUUUUUCUUAGUUUGAAAAUCGGCUAAGAAAGAAAACAAAGAUGAUAGCCUUUGUUUUUAUUAUUUUACUAACUUUAUUUAUUAAAAUACUUAAAUAACCUUUAAUUAAACCUUUAAAAAUCACUUAAAUGACGUCCAUCUUUGUAUAUUAAUUAUAUUAAUGGUCUAAUUACCAUUUAAGGCCACUCAUUUUCCAAUCUCAUAGCAAUUUGACACCUUUUACUUAUAGAACUCAAAAUUUGCACAUUAUGCAAUUUAGUCCUUUUUAUCAAAUUAAGCAUGCAAGCGAUAAAAUUUCUUAAUGAAAUUUUUCUACGACCCUACUAACAUGCUGUAGACAUUAAAAUAUUCAUAAAAUAAAUAUUUAGAUAUCAGAUUUGUGGUCCCAAAAUCACUGUUCUGAUUUUACUGAAACGGGCUGCUACAGUAGUCACAUACCUUUUAAAGCUUUAGUUACUCGUUGAACCAAUAGUGUAGCACCCCAAACCCGGCCCAGAAGUUAUGGCCGGAUCCGGC
rnacentral:lncRNA from 1 species